UGAAUGGAUGAUUGAUUCAGCUGCGGGCACCAUCUCCUGGCGAGACGCGGGAAUUCAUUCAGCGCGCGACUCUCACAGUGCAUUAUGGGUAUUCUCUAGCCGUUGAGCGUGCAUCGGUUGUACACUCGUUAUUGCGGUGCAUUGUGGGAUUGAAUGAGUGCACUCAACAUCGUCCACUAUGGUUUCGGACAGCACUACAAAUGGCUGUCCCCUCAAAUAGUGCCCUAUUUAAGGGUAUAGGGGGCGAUUUCGGACACAGCCUCAGUGCUGGGUUGUGUCAGGAAGGGUAUCCGGCGUAAAACCUGUGCCAGAUCAAGUGUGUGUGAAGCGGACCCUUCAAAUGAGCGGAAAUAACACAGAGAGAGAGAGAGAGAGAGAGAGAGAAUGGCAAAGCAGAUUUAGUUGCUUUGCCAUUUACCAAACUGUAUGUUCAAGAAAGUUUUGAUUUCUCUUUUCUAAAUUUUAAAAGUUCAUACUUUUAAAUAUUUUAUUAAAUACUUUGCAUUCAUUCUGAGUUCAUAGUGCUGUAUGUACACCAUUUAAAGAUUACUGAAAUUAUUUUGAUUAAAGGUUUUUGUUGUUAACUCUGAUGUUCAUUACAGGUAUUUCAAGCACAUGGAUGACAGUGAAAAAUACGUUUUUCCACAUCAUUUAGUCAUUAUUAUGCUACUUUAGCUUCAAUAAACUCAUAAGCGGUCAUAUAGGCAUUGCCCUCUGUCGUCACCUCUUCCUUUACUAGUUCAGUCUCUACAGCACAUCUACAAGCCUUCAAGAUACUGAGCGGACAGUAAGACAGUUUAUACUCCUUCACAGCCCUUAAACUGAGUGUCCAGUUAUGGCAAAUUUUCAAACCAGGAUUCUUCAUCUGGAUCUCUGUGUCGUCAUUAUUCUCCUGACUUACACAGAUUAUUCCAAAUCCAAUCAAGAGCAAAGGAUUCGGCAGCACAUCAACAAAACAGUGUUUGUGGGGGAAACAGUUACACUUCACUGCAAUAAAACCCCGUUUGAUGACGAUUUAACAUGGAAAAUGAACAACUCUGUUAUUUUUAGUCACGACUCCUACAGUAACAGAGCUAUGACAAACUUCACCUCAAACAGGAUUCACAUCAACCCAGCAGUUCCAAUAGAAUUAAAAAUACAUCAAAUACAAGCGUCUGAUGCAGGAAACUACACCUGUUAUCCAGCAGCAAUAAGAUGGACAUUAACAAUAACAGAAAACAGACCAGCGUCACCCAAACAAAUACCGCUUUACAUCAUCAUCAUCAUCUCAUGUUCUGGAAUCAUUAUGGUCUUUCUGAUGAUCAUCAUCAGCAUCUGCAUUCACAGGAAACUGAGACAGAAGAUGAACUCUGGUCACAGUGAAACAGUCAAGGAGAGUGUGAAGACGAUCUCUCACUGUGACAAACACACAAUAACAACCUGUGUCUACAGUCUUCAUACAGUCUCAUGAACAAUAGCUUUCCUUCUCAAGACACCAGUUUAUGUGUCUGCCACUCAUCAGAUGACCAUCUCAAUACAGGAAGAUGUUUUUAGUAAUUUUCAUGGGUUAGAGCAGAAGUCUCCAAACUCAGUCCCGGAGGGCUGCUGUCCUGCAAAGUUUAGCAUCAACCCCAAUUAAACACACCUGAAUCAGCUAAUGACACUCCAAAAGACACACAAGGGUUUUUCACACUUGAAAUGUUUAACUCUAAACUCUGGGUAAAUGGAAUCCUGGGUUAUCUUGCUUCAUAUUUCACACUGCUCAUAAUUUACCCGGGGACAAAAAAUUAAUCCAGGGUAUUCAUAAGCUGAUGUUUCACAUUGUACAUUCCUAAACCCUGGGUUAACCUUCUUAUUUGCAUAUUUGCGGUGUCAGUGUCAUUGAUUGGAUAAACGCAGCACGUGACCAGUUCACAGAAGCUCUAGCAUUGCACAUCCUCAUAUUGUUGACUGUACUAUUGCGUUUAUACUGAAUGGACAUUUUGGACUAUAAAGUUCUUCCUUUACUAGUUCAGUCUCUACAGCACGUCUACAAGCCUUCAAGAUACUGAGCGGACAGUAAGACAUUUUAUACUCUUCACAGCCCUUAAACUGAGUGUCCUGGUAUGGCAAAUUUUCAAACCAGGAUUCUUCAUCUGGAUCUCUGUGUCGUCAUUAUUCUCCUGACUUACACAGAUUAUUCCAAAUCAAAUCAAGAGCAAAGGAUUCGGCAGCACAUCAACAAAACAGUGUUUGUGGGAGAAACAGUUACACUUCACUGCAACAAAACCCCAGUUGAUGAACAUUUAAUAUGGAACAUGAACAACUCUGUUAUUUUUAGUCAUGACUCCUACAGUAACAGAACUAUGACAAACUUCAGCUCAAACAGGAUUCACAUCAACCCAGGAGUUCCAAGAGAAUUAAAAAUACAUCAAAUACAAGCAUCUGAUGCAGGAAACUACACAUGUUAUCCAGCAGCAAUAAGAUGGACAUUAACAAUAACAGAAAACAGACCAGCGUCACCCAAUCAAAUGUCGCUCUAUCAUCAUCAUCAUCAUCUCAUGUUCUGGAGUCAUUAUGGUCUUUCUGAUAAUCACCAUCAGCUUCUGCAUUCACAGGAAAAUGAGGCAGAAGAUCAGCUCUGGUUCAGAUAAGAAGGAUGUUAGUGCAUUCACCACACCUCAGAUGAAGAUGAUCUCUCACUGUGACAAACACACAAUAACAGCCUGUGUCUACAGUCAGUUUCAUGAACAUGAUCUUUCCUCCUCAAGACACCACCCAGAUAGCAUGGUGACAUUGAUACAAUAUUUCAGAGAACCCAAAGGAAAAGAGGCAGUUGUCUGAUGCAAGCCAGAUUUUGAAAACUUGAGCCACUGGACCUCUUGUAUUUAUGAUGACAUAAGACUUCUGAAAGUAAUGUUAUUUUUAAAGGUUGUAAUGCUUUUGUCCUUUUUGCCCCUUUUAUUUUCUAUCUCUUUGUCAUUGAUUGUUAAACUGUCAAAUAAAUAAGUGACUCAACUGCUGGAAAGGUGUCAUUUAUGUUUUAA